ensembl:lncRNA
UAAUAAUAUGACAUCCAUCCAUCCACUUCCAUUUAUUAAUUUAAGUAUAACAGGAGCUCUCAGAGGCAGUGUACACCCUGGAGAGGUUGUCAGUGCGUCACAGGGCUAACACAAAGAGACACACAACCAUUCAGUUUGACAGCCACAGUCAGUCUAGAGUCACAGUUAACCUAACCCAUGCAUGUGUUUGGACUGUGGGAGGAAGCUGUACAAGCACAGGAGAGAAAGGCCCCAGACUGCAUUUGAACCCAGGACUUUCUUGUUGUGAGUCAGGAUUUUAACUAGUGUUAUGCCCUCUAAUGUGACAUAUUAAAUAUAGAUAUAUUUGAAAAAAGUGGUCAGGUUUAAUUGCAGCAAACAAAAAAACCCACAUGGUUGGACUUACAGGAAGAUCAUAGAUUGGGAUAAUAUAGAUAUUAAUAUGCAGAAUGAAUCACUGAUGAUCUGGAGGCUCUCACUCCUGAACAUCUGAGUAGAAAAUAAAGACUAUGGAUAGACCAGCCAAUCAAUAUCAAGCAGAAGCAGCUCCUGCUGUAAAUUUGUUUGAAUCAGGCUCUUGGUUCAGGCCACUUAUACGGUGACUCUGAAUACAGACAGUGAUCAUGAUUACUGUACAUAUUAUGAGCUAGGAUUUAGCAGUAGCCAGAAUGUUACACUAGUGGAGUGUUUUUCCUGAACAAAACAGGACUGUGGGGAAAAAAGGUGUAACUGGCAGCUGGUCUUCUUGUUUCCACGCAUGCUGAUAGCAAGCCUUAGUGACUAACCUUUGGAACCAGCCUAGCUGUGUUUAUGACACUGCUGCUUCAUCUAACAUUAGCUCCACUGUUUCCCCGUACAUUAUAGGUUCUCUAACCAGUACAAUACAAAGAAAUUAAAUUAACUGGUUACAGCGUGAAUGAAGAAAAGUUACUCCAAAUAUUGUGUUAAACUAGUAUGUGCUGUUAUUAUUUUUUAUAACUAAAUUUCAAACAGUAUGUCCCAUGUUUCUCUGAAUCAUUCGUUAGUGUCGUCUAACAUUUUGAACAUUGACAGUAAUGUCUGUUUUCACAAAGUUGUUUCCAUUCCCGUUUUGUACAAAUGUUGUGCAUUUCUAUUUAACUGAUAUAUGUUUUCUCCAUUUUUCUCUCAUUGCUGUACAAUGGCUGACACACUCAAAUUAGAUAAAAGAUUGUGGGUUUAAUCAAAUAAAAGAUUAUUUUUCUUUUUUAAAAUUA